AGAGUUUGAUCAUGGCUCAGAACGAACGCUGGCGGCAGGCUUAACACAUGCAAGUCGAACGAACUCUUCGGAGUUAGUGGCAGACGGGUGAGUAACGCGUGGGAAUAUACCUUUCGGUACGGAACAACAGUUGGAAAUGACUGCUAAUACCGUAUACGCCCUUCGGGGGAAAGAUUUAUCGGAGAUGGAUGAGCCCGCGUUGGAUUAGCUAGUUGGUGGGGUAAAGGCCUACCAAGGCGACGAUCCAUAGCUGGUCUGAGAGGAUGAUCAGCCACACUGGGACUGAGACACGGCCCAGACUCCUACGGGAGGCAGCAGUGGGGAAUAUUGGACAAUGGGCGCAAGCCUGAUCCAGCCAUGCCGCGUGUGUGAUGAAGGCCCUAGGGUUGUAAAGCACUUUCAGUAGGGAAGAUAAUGACGGUACCUACAAAAGAAGCACCGGCUAACUCCGUGCCAGCCGCCGCGGUAAUAC
rnacentral:rRNA from 1 species